AAGGGGACUAACUCAAGGGGUGAGUGCAUGAUCAGACCAUGGGUGUACAUUGAUUUGGGUGAGUGCAUUUGGGUUAGUCCAAAGAGUUUUUCAGAUUUAGAUUUUAACCCAUCUUAUAGACUAUAUAUAUGUAACCUAUAAUAUUGUGGAAAGAAUCGAAUCAUUUUCUCUCGAAACCCUCAUUUUCUCUUUUCUCUCUAG
rnacentral:lncRNA from 1 species